UACGUAGGUGGCAAGCGUUGUCCGGAUUUACUGGGCGUAAAGGAUGCGUAGGCGGAUAUUAAGUGAGAUGUGAAAUACCCGAGCUUAACUUGGGUGCUGCAUUUCAAACUGGAUAUCUAGAGUGUGGGAGAGGAGAAUGGAAUUCCUAGUGUAGCGGUGAAAUGCGUAGAGAUUAGGAAGAACACCAGUGGCGAAGGCGAUUCUCUGGACCAUAACUGACGCUGAGGCAUGAAAGCGUGGGUAGCAAACAGG
rnacentral:rRNA from 1 species